CGUGCCUACGGGAGGCAGCAGUGAGGAAUAUUGGUCAAUGGGCGCUAGCCUGAACCAGCCAAGCAGCGUGAAGGAUGACUGCCCUAUGGGUUGUAAACUUCUUUUAUAUGGGAAUAAAGUGCAGUAUGUAUACUGUUUUGCAUGUACCUUAUGAAUAAGGAUCGGCUAACUCCGUGCCAGCAGCCGCGGUAAUACGGAGGAUCCGAGCGUUAUCCGGAUUUAUUGGGUUUAAAGGGAGCGUAGGUGGAUUGUUAAGUCAGUUGUGAAGGUUUGCGGCUCAACCGUAAAAUUGCAGUUGAAACUGG
rnacentral:rRNA from 1 species